ACCAGCUCUGUUGGGACAAGAGGACGGUCUUCUUUUGGAAGGAGGACCAUCAUCUUGUCCCAAGAGAGCUGGU
ensembl:miRNA